rnacentral:snoRNA from 1 species
GACCUCCUUGGGAUCACAUAUGGAGAUUGGUUAGCAUCCUGACAGAUUCUGAAGCAAGAGUGAAAGAAAGCUGAGCAGAGGUAUCCAUUCAGUUCCCAGCUUUUUAGUAGGUGAUGAUAGGAAGACAUUCUGCAACCUCA